UUAAUGAGAGUUUGAUCCUGGCUCAGGACGAACGCUGGCGGCGUGCCUAAUACAUGCAAGUAGAACGCUGAUGUUUGGUGUUUACACUAGACUGAUGAGUUGCGAACGGGUGAGUAACGCGUAGGUAACCUGCCUCAUAGCGGGGGAUAACUAUUGGAAACGAUAGCUAAUACCGCAUAAGAGUGAUUAACACAUGUUAGUUAUUUAAAAGGAGCAAUUGCUUCACUGUGAGAUGGACCUGCGUUGUAUUAGCUAGUUGGUGAGGUAAAGGCUCACCAAGGCGACGAUACAUAGCCGACCUGAGAGGGUGAUCGGCCACACUGGGACUGAGACACGGCCCAGACUCCUACGGGAGGCAGCAGUAGGGAAUCUUCGGCAAUGGACGGAAGUCUGACCGAGCAACGCC
rnacentral:rRNA from 1 species